AUCUCAUCGUCCAGGAUCGUCUCCCUCCACCACCAGAAACCGUUUCUCUCUCUUAAACUCCGGCCUUGUUCGUCAGGUCUCUCCGGUCCAACUCACCGCACGAGUGCCGUUUGCUUCAAUCCGCUACGGUAAACGAGCGAUUUCAAUUUCUCAAACAGUUAAGUUGUGAUCUCCUUUUGCGUGAUUCUUCUCGUUCUGAUUGUUGGCAGAGCAUCGUUAGAUCGCCAGCGAACCGCCGCUGCCGUAUCUACGAAUGCUGAGAAGCAGCGAAAGAGAGGAUCGAGUGUGGUCUGUUAUGCUGCUCCGAUGUCUGUUCAUAAUCUACAAUGGGUCUCGGCAAUCUCUUGCGUGUAGGUUCUCACGAAAUGGAUUAGUGCGAAUCGAGUUACAUGAUUCAGGAACUUUUAGCUAUAUAUAUAUAUAUAUGUUUGAUUGCCUCGAGAGAUCAUGUGUUGGUGUGAAUUGCGAUAGGCAGCUAAUUCUGUAGCUUUGAGUGUUUCAUUAAUGUUUUCAAUUGCUAUAUAUACUGAAUGGUGUUUCUUUGGUAGUGCAUUGAUGGUUGCAAAGGGUACAGGUAUCCACAAGUCCUUUGUUGUUCCGCUACUUGCUCUAACUGCACCAUCAGACAUUAUCUCCUGGGCAAAGUAAGCUCUCUUUUUUUUUCUAAUGGCUAUAUGACUACCUUUUCUUUACUAUAAAGCUUCUUAUCUCUGUUCUCCUUUUCUUAUUCUGGAUGAGAGAACUUUGUUUGUUUGAUUGUACUCCCCAUCUUGAAGUUUUGCAUUUGGUUUUGCAGGGGUGAAUAUGGAAUCUGGACAGCAUUCAUAGCACUUCUUGCUCGACUGUUCUUCGCUUUUCCAGGUCUUUUUUUUCAUCUUCAAGUGUUUUGUUUUGUUCAAAUGUCUGUAACUGGCAUUCAUUCAUAUUGCAAUUUGAGAUCAUUGCUAAUAUCAUUAACGUUGUUCUGUCUCGUCAGGUUUUAAAUUUGUAGAAGUUUGUCCCUGUCUUUAUCUGCUUGUAAUUGUUCUUUCUUUAUAGGUGAACUUGAACUGCCAUUCAUUGCAUUACUCUUGGCGAUUGUGGCGCCAUAUCAAGUUAUGAGCAUAAGGUUAGAGGUUUAGAGAAUUUUGUGUGUUUUGAUAACAGGGUUUUCUCUUCUUUAGUCGAGACUCAUUGGCUCUAUCCAUGUUUGCAGAGGGAAACAAGAAGGGGCUCUCAUUUCUUUGGCAAUAUCUUGUUUUCUGGCGUUUCAGCAUUUCUCACGAGCAGGCAGCUUGCAGAAAGCGUUUGAUCAGGGUUCAGUUGUCGCCACUUUAGGCAUCAUUGGUGUCACAGUUGUAUCUGCCCUUUUCUUGAUAUAACUAUACCUCAUCUGUAAAUCUCUGUAACGAUGUCUACGAAGAGAUGGGAAUAAUGGGCUGUAUUUAUUUACUUAAUGUUAACUCAACUCAAUGUGCUUCUGCUUAUCCGCUGUGUAUGAGAUGCUUAUAUUUAGCACUAUUAGCUGGUAACACAUUGAUCUUUUUCAGUCGUAAAUGAUUCCACAAUAAACUUGUUGGGGGUUGAAAAAUUCAACUCAGAAGGAAGGCACUGUUAAGGAUAUUGUGAUGCAAGCAACUGCUUUAAAACGCUGCAGGUAAUGUGGAGCUUGCCUCUCCAUCGUUGAUGCGCCUACCCGUUUUGGAAUAUGCUUGCAGGUAUGGAACUACUUGAUGUAAAGUUCAUUUUAUAUUUUGUACGUCUUUCCCUUUUCUUAUAUGUGUGUGUGUUUUAACAGGUCCCUAAGUAUUUUUUAUUCUCUAAAACUGUAAAAGAGAUACAUUAUGCUUAACGUGUCUACAAGAAUGUAUAUAACCUAAGCCCUUUCAUUUUGUAAUAUCUCCUACUAAAUAAAUAUAUUUCCCGUUAUGAACUAUAGCAAGAGAACAGAUGAUGUGUGUGAGGUCUUGGAUUAAAAUCUUCUUGCUGAUCACGGCUGAUUCCUUCGACUCCAUACUAUCGUGAUGGUGUAUUUGUAGGAAACGAGACUUGUAAUUUGCAGAGAAAGAUGGAAAUCCUGAAAACCCUUUGUCCGUUUAGAGAUAAUUUUGCCUGAGCAGUGGCACUAGUAUUCCAACCGCUGUAAAUACUGAGAGAAAGCUAUGUGACACAUGAGUUGCUAAACUCGGAAGCCCCGUUGGCUCUGCCACGCCGUAGGGUGGUCCAGAACCAGGUAUGUCUGUAGUUGGAGUUGUUAUUGGGGGUGGGUAUGUAGGAGUAGAAGGUGGGGAAUUAAAAUCUGGUGGACUUGGUUGACUUGGCGGGCUUGUGCUGCAUUUGGCAAAUAUAAAUCACUGUAAUUUUUCUCAAUUUAUUUGGCAGGUUAAGUCGUUAAUUUACCGGAAAGAGAAACAUACCUGACAGUUCCUGAUGAUGAUGGGAAGCGACAGCUUCCUUUACCUGGAGCAGCGUAAGAGCAGAUUUGAGUACCACACUCGAAUUUAUAUUUAGCGUAUACAUUAGAAUCAUAUGGUAAAUCUGGGUUCAUGAACUUAAUCUAGACACUCAACCAAGUUGUAGUCUUGUAGAGGUCUUAAAUAGCUCGAUAAAUGGAGGCAGCAAAGAAAGAAGCAGGGUAUAUGGAUGCUAGUAUUCAGGUAACUUACUUUCCUGGAUCUUAUGAUAAAAUCUUGGUAGACUUGUAGUUAAAAGUGUCUUACUUGGAUCUGCGCUGGUGAGUUGUGCAGCCCCUCCAAAGUUGCAGCUGUCUGAACCAGGAUGCUUCUGGUAAUAACUAUUGAAAGCAAAGGAUGCAUGAUCACGAAUGGUGUUAGGCUCGUAACAGCUUGCACCUUGUUGGAUCUGGCCACAAUCAGCUCCUCCAUACCCACAAGCGUAAUCCAAAGCCACUUGUAAUGAUGUUGGCGAAGCAGUUGCUUUCGCUAUACACCACUGACCUCCACUGCCUCCACCACCACCACCAUUAUCACCACCGCCGCCUCCACCAGGUGCACCACCACCGCCUGCACCAGUGUCACCACCGCCUCCUCCACCAGGUGCACCACCACCCCCGCCUGCACCAGUGUCACCACCUCCACCAGGUGCACCACCACCACCACCGCCACCUGGGGGUGUAGUACCAUCAAGUGGUGGGUAACCACCGGUUGGGGUGGUACCAUCAAGUGGUGGAUAGCCACCACCGGUUGGUGGUGUUGUACCAUCUAGUGGUGGAUAGCCACCGGUUGGUGGAUUUGGGUUCGUGACUGGACCUGGCAAUGUCGAGGAAGGCGGUGAUGGUUGGGUUAUGGUUGGUGUGGUGGUAUCACCCCCUGGAGAUGUAGGAUUAACAACUGGUAUGUCACCCUGUCCUCCCUGAGCUAUAACAUCUAGAGCUGAAACCAAACCAAUCAUCAGAUUAAAAGAAACAGGUCAGUUCGUUGCAAUAACAGUAACUCUUAAGAAACUUUUAAGAAUGUGCAAGAAAAACGGAGCAGCUUAUACUCUAAUGUUGUAAACAGACAACAAAGAGAUUACGUGAAGUAAUAAGAAGGCAUAGAAGCAUGAUCUGGAAGGAACGAGGAGCUAUACGGUGCGGCAUUUCUUUCCGUUCCUUGUUGUAGUUGAAGCUUUUGAAAGAGAGAAAAAGAGAGAGACUUGUCAGGUAGUCUUGGGAUGUGGGAGAGGAAAGAUAGAAUGGUUGCGAAGAAGUUCCAUCUCAGGUAUAAAGAUGAAGAGAAAAGGGAGAAUCAUAGAAUCAAAGAUUUCUUGGGAUGGGAGAGAGAAGGGACGCGAAGACAUGACUGAGAGAAUAUAAGAAAACUUGAGAAAGGAGAAACUAGGAAGCUAGAAUCGUCAAGCAAGCGAAAACACCAUAAAGAGGAAAAGGUAUUUACAGAUCAACUUAUAUAGUCCAUGAAAAUGUAUAAGAAGCUCCUUUUUUGGUGGAAAAAUUCAAACAUCGUCCUAACUCUUUCAUCUCCUAAAUAGUAAACAAAGAUGAAAAAAAUAUGAGAUGGGUAUGUGGUGAAAAAGAGAUUUGUGUCGUUAAUUAGUGUCAAAAGAUGAUUACAAUGACAUGAAAUAUCAUACUUCCACUGGAAGUGAGUGUAACCAAUGUUUUAUCUAUUUAAUCAACGUUAGUGCUGGAGAAUGUUGUCUUUUGGAGCUAGGAGUGUCCUUUUAACUGUUGUUGUUGUACUGAAUCGAACAACAAUAGAGAGAACAUGUAAGUAAAGUUAAAAAGUAACGAAAAGCUAAAGUGUUUCCUAUGAAACAUAAGGAAUGUGCUUGUUAAUAAGCCUAGUUGUUAUUCUCUAUCUCUCUUUAUUUGUAUCUUCUCUUGUAAACAAGUGCUUCUUUUCGUCCAUGUGUCUCUAUCCCUUUUUUGCCAUGUAACUUUUAUUCAGAUUAGUUUUUCUUUAUGAGAAAGUUCAUGUGGUAACUUUCCCCCCAAGUUAUAAGUGUUUCUUUAUUGUCUCUAUGUGUUACUUUUGAUUCACCAAAGUUGAACUGAGAGUUGCAGCACACAGAUCAAGAACAAGAGGAAAAUACAAUGAACAGAAUAGUCUGUUAUUAUCAAUGAGUAACAGUGUCCAUAUAUACAUGAUUAAGCCAAAAGAAACUUAACCAAGAAUAACCAUAAUCAAUUUAUCUUAACCGGAAAUCAAACCAACCAGCAAUCCUAACUGUUAAUGUUUCAUAUGGCUUCUGUUCAGAUUUGGUUUAUUUAUAGGUUCGUAAAGAACUUACGUUUUCGGUUUGUUUUUCUUCUCCUUGUCUUCAUUUUGUGUUCGGAUUCGGUAUUUUCGAUAUUAAAAAGUAUUAAUGAAAGACAAAAGAUUGACUUGAAAGAAAGUUACUUCUCCUUUCACUGAUUUGUUCCAUCUCUUAUCACCAAACUCUUCUUAGUAACUUCUCAGUAUUACACCAGCACUAACCGCUGCAACAAAUGCUUGAUGGUGGUCUGAGAAGAAAUCAUCAGUCACAUAAUCUGUGAUAGGAUACAAAGAGUGUUUCUUACCUGACCAUUCCGUAGAGGUCUCUGACUGCAGACCGGCGACUAAGGGUGGGCGUUAGGAUAUCCGUUCGGAUUCGGGUCGGAUAUUUCGGAUUUUCGGGUAUUUCGGUAUAGAGAUAGAGAACCCGUUCGGGUAUUUAUGUACUUCGGGUCGGAUUCGGGUAUUUUUAAUUCGGGUUCGGUUAUUUUGAAUCGGGUUCGGAUAUUUAGAUUUUAAAAGAAAAAAAAAUAAAUUUUUCAUUUUUUAAGUUUAUUGUAUUUAAAAAUAUAGAUUUCACUUAGCUGUUUUUUUAUUUUUUAUAGAUUGAAUGAUUAAUAGGUUUGAAGAUAAUAUUUCAAAAACAAAUAGAUAUUAAUUUGGGUAUUGUUUUAAUCUUUGAAUGUAACUUUUGUUAAUACAUGAAACAAAAAGUUUGACAUGUAUUUUAAAUGAAUAUCAAAUCAUUUUCUCCACAAUUAUAUAUAUACUUAUGAUCUUAAAGUAUGUGUAACAUCAAUAUAAAUAUUUUUAAAAAAAAUAAGAGAUGUAAACUAGAAAUAUAAGGGUAAUUAUACAUAUGUUCGGUUACCUUCGGAUAUCCAUUCGGGUUUGAAUAUUACCCGUUCGGGUUCAGAUAUCCAAUCUUUCCUAACUUAAUACCCGUUCGGGUAUUUUUCUACUUCGGUUCGAAUUUCGGUUCGGGUUUUUCGGGUCGGGUUCGGGUGCGGCUUCGGGUAUCGGGUAAAGUGCCCACCCCUACCGGCGACGGUGUUAUGUUUAUCAGGAACCAGCAUCCUUUCCUUCUUUGUUGAGUUGGUUCUGAGCAUUAUAAGUAACAUAGUCGCACAGCUUGAUUGAAGGGAUCGAUCUCCUAUGGCCUCGACCCAAGAGUUCCUCACUCUCCCCCUGAAUACUCUGUUUCUCAACUCCAUUGUCUACCGUUUCUGUAAUCUGCUCAGUAACGCCAGACACAAUCUGUUCACUGUUUACUGCGAUCUGGUCAGUAACUCCAGAACUUCUCUCCUUGUCCACUAUCAACUCACGCUGCUCUGCCUCGUCGUAAAACUCACACCCCACUGGAGGUACAAUUGGCGUUGCAGAUGUUACUUUCUUCUCAGCAUAUGGAUAUACUUCCUCAUCAAACACCACAUCCCUUGAGACAAAGAACUCAUUCUUGUCUAGAUCAUACAACUUCCACCUUUUCUUUGCAAAAGGAUAUCCACGAAGACACACCUUGCACUGCGUACUCCAAACUUAUCCUUAUCCCUCCUUGAUUUGUGUGCAAAACACAAGCACCCAAAUAUCUUGAUAUCAUCAUACGAAGGAGGUUUCCCGUACUGACAUUCAUAAGGUGUUUUACCUUUGAGCAACUUUGUUGGCGUUCUAUUGAUAAGAUGAGCUGCCGUCAACACACUCUCUCCCCAAAACCGUACAGGGAGAUUAGCUUGAAACAAAAUCGAUCUUGCAACAUUCAAAAUGUGGCGAUGCUUUCUCUCCACACGUCUGUUUUGUUGAGGUGUCCCCAUGCAUGAAGUCUGAUGCACGAUCCCUGCUUCUGCAAAAUACUUGGAAAGGCACAUGAACUCAGUCCCAUUAUGACUUCUCACAGUUUUAACGGUCUUGCCAAACUGACGAGUUGCAAGCGCAAUGAAGUUCGGCAGAACUGUUCUUACUUCGCUUUUCUCUAGUAGGAGAUGAAUCCAUACCGCUCUGGAGAAGUCAUCUACAAUUGUAAGAAAGGAGACAGCUCCAAGAUGGUACUCGAAAGAAGAAGAACUUUUACUAAGACUUCCAGAGAACAUUUCUCUUGUUUGUUUGGACUGAAAACAAAUGUCACAACCACCAAACUUAUUCAAAACAUCUUUAACACCCGAAACAAAAGGUAAAAAACCCAAAACACCAUAAGCAGGAUGCCCAGACAACGAUGCCACACAGUCUGAUCCUCUGAAGCUUUAACUCUGUGUCCUCUCGCUACUGUGACAUCCCGAUAAACAUAAACACCAUCUUUGACUUCACCGGCUCCAAUCAGAGUCCUCGUAAAACGGUCUUGCAAAAUACAAGAUGUAUCUACAAAUACGACUAAACAACCAGUCUGUCUAAGCAAUUUCGCCACAGACAACAAAGUACAAUUCAAAUUUGGAACAAAAAGAACAUUUUCCAAAGUCAGUUUCAUCGACAACCGCAAACUAGCUACCACUCUUGGUAGCCAUCACAUGACUCCCAUCAGCGAAGCUCACAUGACAGGGUAUGUAACACCCCCGAACCGUUUUAGACAUCGGUCAAUCAGCCGGGCAACAAUCAAACAAGAACAUGCCCGAACGACCCUCCUCUGCCAAGUUCAGAAGUGUCACAACGGGUUUAGAAUAGACUUUCCAAGUCACAAAACAUAAUUCUGUAACCCAGAAUAUCCAUUCAAAACUCGUUUCCUCUAAUCUUCGGCCUGAGGCUUUGCAACCCGUACCGAGUAAUAGAGUUGUGUUAGGUUGGACUAACCUAAUAUCAGAUUCAACACGUCACGAAUAUAAAACAUAUUUUAUUUCAUAUAUAUAAUACAUGAAGUUCACAAGACCAAAAUAUUAUACAUAGGGUCCAUGGACGCAGUCGAAAGUAAAACAUACAUUCAUAUAUCUUGAAAACGAGUCUUUAGCAAAAGAUGAUCAAUCUACACCAGCUCCUACAGUUCCGCGAGUGCUACGGUCCUCUCUACUGGUCACCUGCAAAAGGAUGUGAGGAGUGAGUGAACUAGUUUCACUCAGUGAGCCAGGGUUCCCUAUCUAGCAUAUACAACUACCCGUCAUUCUAAACCCAACCCCAAACACAAGCAAGACGGGUAGUUCAACAAUCAAUAUUCAAGAUAAAGCAUGACCGAUUUAGGCAAUAAACCAUUAAACCAUAGUAUAUCAAAACACUCUUCAUGAGUGUCACAUCAAUUAACCAUAUAUAUAUAUAUACACUCCUAGGGCCCAACAGAAUCAUUCUUCCUCCACAUAAGGGACACCGGCAAUCCCUUCACUAUUACACCACACAGGCGUAGGCGCUCGGGAAUCACCCGGUCACGGUCCUCAAUCGGAAUCGCCGUGCCCCGGUCCUCUAUCGGACUCGCCGGGGGCUGUCACAUCCACGUGUGACACUCGGCCUUGGUGAUCAAGCCAAGUUAAACCGAGCCCACCACUUUCCGGACCACGACCGGCUUAGUGGUACCAUUUGAGGAAGCAAUGACCUGCAAACUACUACUAGAACCACCACGAGGUUCUCACACAACAGUACCAACACGAGGUACAAUUUAAAAUAUUUAGUAAUAAAUUAAAUAUCAAAUUCUUUAGAUAUUGAAAACUGAUAUGAUCAAAUUAUCUUCUAUUACGUAAAAUAAACUUGAAAAUGCUCAUAAAGUUAUAUAUAAAUAUAUAAAUAAAUAGGAAUUUAUAUUUAUUUUAAUUUUUUUAAAAAUUAUAAUGUAAAAUAUUUUGUUGGAUAAUAUAGUAUAAACUAUUUUUAGGAUCUAGUUUCAGAUUGGGAUGAGGUAUUUUCCGGAUCUAGUUUUGGACUGUGGCUUAUCGGAUCUAUUAUCAAUAGGAGCACUUUUCACUUGGUGGAACAAACAGGAGGGUGAUCCAAUUGGUAAAAAUUUGGAUCGUGCUCAUGUGUUUUCCUCAGUCUCAAGUUCAUUUCGAAGCAGAGGGUAUCUCAGAUCAUGCAAGGUGUUCUGUUCGUAUUGCUGAUCGGUCUGCUGGUAAUAGGAAACCUUUUCGACUUUUCAAUUACUUUUCAAUCAUAACAAGUUUAUUCCAACAUUGCAAAGGAUCUGGGACUUAAGCCCUCCACUGUUACACUCUCGUAUGGCCCUUCAUUUGUUUCACAUGAAGCUUAAACUUCUAAAGUUUAAUCUUCGUGCUUUAAACCGGACAUAGUAUGGAGACAUAAGUACUAAGACCCGUGAAGCUUAUGUAGUGUUAUGCGACAGGCAGAAUGAGGCGCUGGUAAAUCCUUCUGAUGAGUCAUUUAGGAUUGCGGCUGAGGCGUUGGAUAGAUGAAACCACUUAGCAACAAUUGAAGAGAAGUUUUAUAAGCAAAAGUCUUGUGUUAAGUGGUUGGAAGUAAAGGAGAGGAAUACACCUUUCUUCCAUCAAGAGGUUCAGUCUAGAAUGCCAGGAAUGCAAUCAAGUCUCUUCUCUCGAGUUCCGGGGAAGUCUUCACAGAUGUAGCUAUUAACGAAGAGGCGGUUGAUAAUUUCCAGCGCUUUUUGCAGACACAGCCAGAUACAUCAUCGGUCUCCUUGGAAGAGGUGCAAGAGCUCUUGAGUUAUCACUGCUCAGAUAGUAAAGCUUUGGAUCUGGUCUCCCCUAUCAAAACCACUGAAAUCAUAUGCACUCGCCAGGCACUACCUAAUGGCAAGGUCUCUGGUCCGUGGUCCGGAUGGUUUCACUAAGGAGUUCUUUGUAGCAGCUUGGCCCGUUCUUGGAGCAGAUUUUUCAUAGCAGUACAACCUUUCUUCCUCUUUGGAUUUAUGCUAGUUGUGGUUAAUGCCACUAUCCUCUCCCUGAUUCCUAAAACAGAAUCAGCUCAAACGAUGAGAGACUAUCGUCCCAUAGUGUGCUGCAAUUUUCUGUACAAAGUCAUAUCUAAGGUUCUAGUCCGCUGUCUCAAAACAAUUCUCCCUAAAGCUAUUGAAGCAAACCAAUCUGCUUUCAUUAAGGAUCGACUUCUCCUUGAAAAUGUUAUUCUAGCAUCUGAACUUUUUAAUGGAUAUCCCAAAUCUACUAUCUCCAGCAGAAGCACGAUCAAGUUUGACAUCUCAAAGGCCUUUGAUACAAUAAAGUGGUCCUUCAUUGUUCUGGUGUUGUAAGCAAUGGGUUUACCUCAACAAUUUAUUCACUGGAUUUGUGUAUGCAUUUCCACUGCAUCCUUAUUUUUCUCAGUCAAUGGCGAACUUGAGAGGUUCUUCACUACUGUGAGAGGCAUACGCCAAGUUGCUCUCUCCCGCCAUAUCUCUAUGUGAUACUCAAUAAUAUCCUAUCUCAGCUCCUCAAGGCUGCAGCCAGCAGAGGUGAGUUUGGAUAUUAUCUUUUCUGCAGGGAGAUACAACUUACCCAUCUUUUCUUUGGGGAUGAUCUUGUAGUGUUUACAAAUGGGCCAACACGUUCAGUUCAUGGUGUCUUGGCUGUGAUGGAUGGAUUUGGCCAAAUGUCUGGACUGUUUAUCAAUAACGUUAAGCCUUACUAAGGUGGACUAAGACCCUUUGCUUGAUAAAGUCUGCAAGACUUUGCUUGGUUGGACAAACAAGACUCUUUCCUAUGCUGCUCGUCUGCAGUUGCUUCAGUCGGUCAUUGUGAGUAUGGUAAAUUUAUGGUGCUCUGCAUUUAUGUUGCCUAUGGGAUGCUUGGAUGUAAUUGUUCAUUUGUGCAAUGCUUUCUUGUGGUCUAGAUCGCCAAACAAUACCCACAAAGCUAAAGUUGCGUGAGAUGAUAUUUGCUACUCUAAAGAGGUUGGAGGCUUAGGCUUUCGAAGAUAAGGACACUAACCGGGUUUUUGGACUUCAUCUGAUCUGGCACCUAUUCACUAAGCCAUCCUUCUGGGAUGAAGGAGACCACUCUUGGCUCUUGGAUUUGGAAAAAACUUAUCAAACUGAGUCCUAUGGCUUAUGAUAUUAUGCAUGCAUAGCUAGGGAAUGGAAGGGAUAUCUAUUUUUGGACUGAUGACCGACUCAAAAUUGGGCGCUUGAUAGACAUCACAUGAAGCUUGGGUACUCGUUAUCUGGGAAUUCCUAGAGAUGUUAAGGUGUGUGAUGCGGUUAUCAACGGGGAGUGGAAGAUUAGUAGGAUAAGUCGGCUUCAUGGCGAUUUGUGUAGACGUAUCCUAGCUGAGGAACCGCCUGAUGUUGCGAGUGGAGCAGACUAGUUUUUGUGGCGCCACAGUCAGGACACUUAUUCUCGUUCCUUCUCUUCAAAGAAUACGUGGGAUCAACUGCGCAUACGAAAAAACAAGGUCUCCUGGGCACAUUUUAUAUGGUUCUCACAGGAGCUGCCUCGUUUUUCUUUUAUCACUUGGCUUGCUGUGCUUGAUCGUCUCUCUACUGGUGUUAGAAUGAGAAUGUGGAAUGUCGAGCAGUCUUGUGUCUUCUGCUGGGGAAAAAGAUGAGAAUUGAGACCAUUUGUAUUUUGUUUGUCCAUACAUGUUUACUGUCUGGCUGAAGGUUGCGGGAAGCAUUCUUGGGAACCGGAAACGCCGGACUGGACUGUUACUAUGAUCACUUUACAGGGUGAUACUUUCUCAUCAAUGGACUAUGUUCUGCUCUGACUAGCUUUUCAAGUAACAGUGUAUUUAUUGUGGAGGGAGAGAAAUGCUCGUAGGCAUCGUACGAGUUGAUCAGAUGUGUCGUCAGAUUGAUCGCACUAUACAAAACCGUAUUAUUGCGCUACAUUAUGGAGCCACACACAAAUUUGAGGGAUUAUUUCGUCGCUGGUUCGCCAUUAUUGGCUGAAAAUGAUAGUGAAAAAGACGGUUGAAAUUGAUUCUUUUUUACUGCUUUAUACAUUUUCAUAUCACACUGUAAAUGACCAAUUUCUUUAUUGUUUAUAAUCAAUUUUAUAUUUUAUUUUUAUAUGGUGAUAAUUAUCAAAUCAGUUUAAAUUCGUUUUCCAUUUAUAGUUAAUUAUAUAUUAACAAAUAUAACGGUCACUAAUGUUUAUAAAGACUUUAUAGCAUAAUAUAAUUAUUUUUAGAUGGUGAUAGUUGUUAAUUUAAUGAAAUUCAUUUUUAAUCUACAUGGUUAACUAUAUUUUAACAAAUCUAAUUAUUUAUUAAGAGUAUUAUAGAUUUUAGCCUUUCUAAAUUUAACCGCGAAAGUUCACAGACAAAAAAAAUAAUUCACAAAUAAUAUAUGUAUAUAUAUAUCUGAAUAUAAAUAAAUAUAAAAUAGACAUUAAAAGAAAAUAUGUACAGAUUCAGUAACUUAAAGAUCUUUGAAAAUAAAAUAUAAUUAUAAACAUAUUAUAGGUUUUUUUUAAAGCAUUAUAACAUAUAGUUAUACCUUCAUUGUUAACAAAUAAUUAUACUGCCUAACUAAAUAUACAACUAGAUCAUACUACCAGUCGUAUGUAUUUGAUUAAAAAACAAGUCAGUUACUAAUAAUCCAAAUGAUCGUUAGAAAUAAAUGACGUCAUAAGUCAUAAAUAGUACCAUCAUUGAGCGAUAACUGUAUGAUUUGGUUCUCAAAUCGGUAAGCUCCUCUAAUGCACAAAAAUACGUCUAAUUUUGAUUUCUGAGAACUGAAACUCUUGAAAAAGGACAAAUCCAAGAUUGUUGUGGUAAAAAUUGUCAAAUCCAAGAUAUUUGACAAUUAAUGAUUUUAACAAGAAAGAUUAGAUAACAAUUUACAUAUCCUCCAUUAUUUUUUGCUAAAUAUUAUAUUAUUAAAAUUUUCGUAUAUGUUACAUUUGAAUUUUUAAAAACAACUACAAAUAACGAAAAAAUAUUAAAAGUCUCACAUUGAAAAUUUCGUGAUCAAUGAUUUAAAACUUUUGUUAUAAUAAAAUACAAAUGAUCAUAAAACCAUAUAAGUAAAAAUAAUAUUUUAUAAUUAUUUAGAUUGAUAUACAUAUAUUAAACUAUAUACCAUAUAAAAAUAUAUAACUAUUUUAAUUUAAAAUUUUGCAUUGAACAAGUAUUGAGAAAUUAAUAUUUUAAUUUUAAAAUUUUCAUUAAAUUUUCAAGAAAUAUUAUAAAUUAUUAAAAAUAUUAAAAGUCCCACACUAAAAGCUUUGUUAUUAAUGGUUUAAUUUUUUGUUAAAGAUAUAAAAAAUAUCAUAAAACCAUAUGAUUUGGAAGUUUCAUUUAAUAAAUAGCCAUUAUUAAAGAUAUACUGUAUAUCUAUGUUAAUAUUAUUUAAAUUUAAUUACAUACAAUACAAAAUAGAGAAAAUUAUUGUUUAAAUUUUUGUACCACAAAAUAAUAGUAAAUAAACAAAAGUGAUUUCUUUAAUUUAUUAUUUCUAUCAAUUUAAGUAUAUAUGUAACAAUUAAUAAUUUUUCAAUUAUUUAAUAUAUAUUAUUAAUUUUUUCAUAAUAUAUAAAAACGUUAGACAAAUAAUAAUACUUAAACAUAAUUUGUAUAUAAAAUGUUCUUACGCGGAAUCUUAAACUAGUAUAUAAAUAUAGAGGAUAAUUGGUUGAACUGUGGAUGUAGGAAUUUAGCUGUAAGAUUUAGACUGUAGUUUUUAUUGUUGUAGCUUUAUAUUUUUUUGCUGUAAAAAAAUAGUACAGUUCAUAAAACACUUUAAAAGUUGCUUUAAUAAAAAAUAAAAGUAAAACAUGAACAAAAACAAAAGGUUGUAGAUGCUGUAGCAAGACUUUGGCUUUGAUUGGUGACAUGAGUUACCAUUAAUUAAGUUUGAGUUGGGCUUAGAGCAUCUCCAAUGGUGCAUCAAAAUGAGGGAAAACAUCAAAAAAUGAGGGAAACUCAUCUCCAAUGGUACAUCAUUUUGAAGGAAAAAUGAGUAUAUGAACAGUAUUACAUCAAAUUUGAGGGAACACUAUUCACAACCUCAUUUUGAUGUCAAGCUUUUUUUAUUUACAUAAUGAUCCUUUAUUUUAUGAUAAUAUUUAUUUUAUGCAUAAACAAAACAUUAACACUAAAGAUAACUUUUAUAACUUUAUACCCAAUAUGUAUAUACUGAUUAAACUUCUUUAAAAUAAAAUUACCAAUUAUUAAUUAUUAAAAUAUAAUUUAUAAUUUAUAAUUUUAUAAAUUAUAUUAUAUAAUUUAAAAAAUAAAAUAGAAAAAAAUACCAUUGAGAUACCAUUGUAGUUGGAAGAGAAGUUUCACCUCCGGAAGUUGAAAUAGCUGAAGACGAAAUUACCCGAUUCCAAAAGUUUGUGAGUCGGUUUAGACAAAUCAAGGAUAAAGAAGCUCAUUUUUCUCUUCGAAAUGAAUUGAUUGAUCAUUUGUGGGGAAAAUAUAGUAACAGUACUGUUUAAGUAAAAUUCUACUAUUACUUUGUAUGUUGUUAUGUACUUUUAUUGAUGUAAUAAAUAUUUGCUUUUUACAAGUUGAGGUUUGGUUAAACUGUAUAAUUUAAAAAUAAGUGAGAAUAAUCUAAAAUCUUAUAAAAUAAAGGUGUUUUUUUGCAAUAUAUAAAAAGUUGAAAAAUGAAUAUAAUAAGAUUUGAGGGAGAAAAUGAGGGGAACCAUUGGAGCAAAUCACAAACUCAUUUUGAGUUUACUUCAUUUUGAGGGAAAAAAUGAGGUAAACCAUUGGAGAUGGUCUUACAACUCAAAAAUGUUACCAAUCAUGCAUUAAAUUUAGUUUUUUAUUUUAUUUUAGGUUUGAUUUAAGAUGUGUUGUAUUUGAGUUACAAUUUUGACUUAGACCCUUUAUAAAUUUGUUAACUCAAAACAUAAACCUACAUCAACCAAAAUCUCAUGUUUUAGAAUUUGAGUUACAAAUUUGAUUGAUUUUUUUUUUAAGAAAAAUGAAAAUCGUGAACAUGACUUUUUACAAAAUAAUAUAUAUUGAACAAAUAAGAUGCAAAAGUAGAUUUGGGAAUAUUGGUGGUGGGUGUGGGGGAGAGUGGGGGUAAUAUUUAUUUGUUUUAUUUUAAGAUUUUAUAAAUUAUUAAUUUUAAUGAAUAUAUCUUUCAUGAUAGUCUAUAUUUUUCUAAUAAUUUUUUCAAAUCUUCUAUAUAAUACUUAGAAAAUAAUAUAGACUGAAAAUUCUUUUUCAAACUUUUUAUACUUAUUUAAAAUAAUUUUUCUUUUUGUUUGUUUUUAAAAGAGCUUAAUAAAAAGUUUUAUUUAUCAAUUUAUAUAUUCAUUUUUUUAUUUAGAACUCAUACGACAACUUAUACAUCAAAAAUGUUACCAGUCAUAAGUUUUAAUAAAUGAUAAAUUUUAUUUUUACCACAAAACUUACCACAUAAACUUACAGUUUUUACCACAUAUUUUUUACUGCAAGUUACAUCGAACUACAAAUCAUACUGCAAUUCAACUUUAAUAUUACAUGUCACCAGUCUGAGCAUUUAACUUUAAAAUUAAAACUAUAUCAUAAUUAGUUAGGAUUAAUGCUUUAAAAAUAAAUAAAACUAAAGUCUUAAAUUAAAUCCCAACUCAUCACCAUAUACUUGUAACCAUUAUUGGGUAGUAAAUAUAGGAGAUAAUGGAGUAUUGGUUGAAAAUGCAUAUAUGUUGUGUGUGCUAAGAAAAAAUUAAAUAAAAGAUUUGAUAAAAUCCGAAGACAUUAAUGGAUAAUAGCAGGAGAGAUAAUAAUAAAAGAUAAAAUAUAGGGGAAGUGUCAAAAUCAUAAGUUAAAAAAAAUGUCAAAAUCGGACGCAAAAAUGUAUUUAAAUAGAGUUAAGAAAAACCUCCUUAAGCCCAUCAAUCAUUCUCAUCCUUUCUUGUCUCGUUCUGAUAUUUUUCCUCCAUUAUUCCCUUCUUCUCCCUCUCUUUGGUUUGGUUGGUGGUAGAGAUUCAUCUCUCUCGCUCGCUUCGUGCUUUGUAUCGUGAUCAUCGUCGGUGUUCGGUAACUGCACCUUUUAGAGGUAAUUAAUUUAGUCUUUACCUCCUCCUCACUUUCCUAAAAUUUCCCCCUUUUUUCGCAACAAAUUCUGAUUUUUUUUCAGUUAUCAAACUUAAUCAUGUUUUCUCCGUCAAUUGAAUGUUUUUCUACUGAAAUCUCUGGGGUUUUUAUCUAAACCCUUUCUUAGAAUUUUAAAAGGGUUUUUGAUCUUCAAAAAGCUGAACUUUUUUUCUGUUUUGUUUGUGUCGGCGGUAUUGAUCAAUAUUGUGUCUGAAAGGUUUUAGCUUUUGAUGAUCCUGAUAGAUAAAAAACUAAACUGGGUUAGUUUUAAUCAUGCUAGUGUGUUCAUCGAUCUUCUUAGAUUCUGAUUUGGUAUAUACUCUUGGUAUUGGUUUAAAGCUCCCAAUCAGAUUGCUUUCAUGCCCUUUUGGAUGUAAAGUUGAUUUUUUUUUGCUUUUUAGCUUAAUCAAAAAAAAAAAGAGUUCUAGCAGAGUUUAUAUUUGAUUUGUUCAUAGUCUCGUAUAGAUCAAUUUUAUUUUUUGAGUUCUGGCAGAGUUUAUUGUUUGGUUUGUACAUAGUUUCGUAUAGAUCAAGUUUUUUUUUUUUUGGUUACAUUGAGGUUUUAGAUCUUUCUUGCUUGCAUGUUAAUUUUUCAACACAUGACUUGAGAUUUUCUUAUGUGUUGUCUGACCUGUGAAGUUCUUAUUCUAUCUGGGUCCAUCUUGAAUAUGAUAUUUCAUCAUUUUCUCCACCAGGUCAAAGAAAGGUCAAAGAAGAUAACUUUGUGAAUGGAUAUUCCACAAGACGUAGCUGGAGCUUGGGGGAUUCCCUCUGGAAUGGGACGCCACCGUCAUCUCCCCAGUGAUGCUACUCUCUUCUCUGCUUCUUUACCUGUUCUUCCCCAUGGAAAACGUAUUCAACCAAAUCCUUCAAUCAUUAUAUAGACGCAUGUUUUCUCUUGCUUACUAGUUUUGCUUCUUUUUGCAGUACAAUCAAGUGACAGCAGAGAUGGUUUCCCAUUCAUAGACGACGCGGCUGCUUCUCGUCCCGUCCACGAAAGUGUUGACGACAUUGAGUCUCAUUCCAUUGGAAACAUGCUCCCUGACGAAGACGAUCUUCUGACUGGGAUGAUGGACGAUCUCGACCUCACCGAGUUACCACCAGAUUCUGCUGAUGAUUACGAUCUUUUCGGCAGCGGAGGAGGGAUGGAGCUCGACGCUGACUUUCGUGACGGCUUGAGCAUGAAUGGUGGUCCUCCAAGGCUAUCCAUUUCAAGCGCAGUUCCGCAGUUCAAUGUUCAGAACGGCGCCGGAACUGUUGCUGGCGAGCAUCCUUAUGGUGAACAUCCCUCGAGAACGUUGUUUGUCAGGAAUAUUAACAGCAAUGUAGAGGACUCUGAGCUCAAGACUCUCUUUGAGGUAUAACUUCUACACUAUUGGAUUGGUUUAUAACAAAGCUUACUCUACAUACAGACAAUGAUUGGUUUAUGUUUUUGUGGCAGCAAUACGGUGACAUAAGAACGCUCUAUACUACUUGCAAGCAUAGAGGGUUUGUUAUGAUAUCUUAUUAUGACAUUCGUGCUGCUCGAAUGGCUAUGCGGUCUUUACAGAACAAGCCAUUAAGGCGGAGAAAGUUGGAUAUUCACUUCUCUAUUCCUAAGGUUCACUAGUGCUUCUUUGUUUAAAUUGUCUUCUUGUCUUGUUGAUGCGCUCUAGUUUGUAUCUAAUGUGCAUGUUGCCUGUGUAAUCUGUAGGAUAAUCCAUCUGAGAAGGAUAUGAAUCAGGGGACACUAGUGGUUUUUAACCUGGAUCCUUCAAUAACUAACGAUGACUUGCAUGGAAUAUUUGGUGCUCAUGGCGAGAUCAAAGAGGUGAUUCAUCUCUUUGUAUUUGUAUUACUUUGAGCGUCUUGUGUUUUAUUCAGUGUUAAGUGUUGUUUUUUUAUUUCUCUCCCAGAUAAGGGAAACACCGCAUAAGAGGCAUCACAAAUUCGUCGAGUUUUACGAUGUUCGAGCUGCUGAAGCAGCGUUAAAGGCUUUAAAUAGGUGCGAGAUUGCUGGAAAACGUAUAAAAGUUGAACCUAGUCGCCCUGGAGGAGCUCGUAGAAGGUUUCUAUCUUUCUUUGAUCCUAAUGAACUCUAUUGUGUUUCUUACAUCUGACCAUACAUUUGAUCUUUCUAGCUUGAUGCUGCAACUUAACCAAGAGCUUGAGAACGAUGAUUUGCAUUACCUGCCGCUGCUUGGUUCGCCUAUGGCAAACUCUCCCCCAAGUGAGUCUAUUAACUAUAUGCUUCUCUUCAGACGAAACUGUAAUUUUAACACUGUUUGUUGUGAUGGCAGGUAACUGGCUGCAGAUGAACAGUCCCGUUGAGGGUAGUCCGCUUCAGAGUGUGCUGAGCAGGUCACCCGUUUUUGGAGUAAGUCCUACAAGGAACAGCCACCUGUCUGGUUUGGCUUCUGCUCUAAACUCACAAGGACCAAGCUCCAAGCUUGCACCCAUCGGCAGGAGUCCAGUUGCUAGCAACGUCUUCCAACAGUCGUCUCAUUUGUUCCAAGAGCCAAAGCCGGAUAACAAGUACACUGGAAACCUCUCUCCUUCUGGUCCUCUGAUCUCUAACGGAGGCGGCAUCGAGACGUUGUCCGGAUCAGAGUUUCUCUGGGGGAGUCCCAACACACGCUCUGAGCCUUCAAACUCUUCGGUUUGGUCAACGUCAUCCACUGGGGUUCCGUUCUCCUCGGCUCGUGUAGACCGGUCUGUUCCAUUUCUGCACCAAACUCAGAACCGCAGCCAUCAUCCUCAUCAUCAUCAUCAUCUCCACGUUGGGUCUGCACCGUCGAAUGUUCCUCUAGAGAAACAUUUUGGAUUCUUCCCAGAGUCUUCAAAGGACACUAUGUUCAUGAACUCGAGUGGAAUGGGUGGUGGUCUCAACGGUGUGAGUUUCCCGUCAAGAAUGGCAAAUCAUGGGAUUAUGAAUCCCGAGAACGGUUUCUCAAGUUACAGAAUGAUGUCUUCACCGAGGUUCAGCCCCAUGUUCUUAAGCAGCGGCUUAAACCCUGGACGGUUCCCCGCUGGGGUUGAUGGCUUGUAUGAGAAUGGAAGACCCCGUCGAGUGGAGAACAGUUCGAGCCAGGUUGAAAGCAGGAAGCAGUUUCAGCUUGAUUUGGAGAAGAUUAUGAAUGGAGAUGAUUCUAGGACCACCUUGAUGAUUAAGAACAUUCCAAACAAGUAAAAGCUAUUUUCUUUUCUUUACCGUUACUUCUUGUGAAAUACUUCUUAGAAUAUAACUUUUCUGUUGUGGUUUUUUAUCAUCAACAGGUACACAUCAAAGAUGUUGCUAGCGGCGAUUGAUGAGAAGAACCAAGGCACUUACAACUUCCUCUACUUGCCCAUUGAUUUCAAGGUAAAACAAAAGAAUCAUUAAGGAGUUCACUAACUUACAGAACAAGCCGUUGAUAAAUUUUUUUUUGGUUUUGCAGAACAAAUGCAAUGUUGGCUAUGCAUUCAUCAACAUGCUUUCCCCGGAUCUCAUCAUUCCAUUUUACGAGGUCUCCUUCUCUCGCUUUCCUUCUAAGAUACUAAAUAAACUCAGUGCAGAAGAUGAACUUAACAUAUAACAUGCUUAUUAUUAUGUGCAGGCGUUUAACGGGAAGAAGUGGGAGAAGUUCAACAGUGAGAAAGUGGCUUCAUUGGCGUACGCUAGGAUACAAGGAAAAACUGCACUUAUAGCCCAUUUUCAGAACUCAAGCUUGAUGAAUGAAGACAUGCGUUGCCGUCCAAUCAUCUUCGACACACCUAACAGUUCAGACUCUGUUGAACAGGUAAAUAAGCCUGUUUAAAGAUAAAGUACAAACAACAAUCUAAAUGAUGGAUAAGGAAGUCAGGACUAGUGUUGAUACAUGGUUGUGAUUUUGCUUUUGGUCAUUACAGGUUAUUGUUAAGGAAACUAAGAAUGGGGAUCUCUUUGACUCUGAGGUUAAUGAUGAUGAGGACGAUGGUAGAGAGAAGAGCUGACAAAAGAGAGAAGAAGACUCGGUGUUGUGAUGAUCAUGGCUGUGUUUGUUUUUUUAUUUACAAGAACUAAUAUUUAACGACCGUACAUAAUGGGUGAAAGGCAGAGUUAACUGAUGCAGGAGCCUGCAAAAGUGUGUUUUGCGAUUUGCAGGUUUUAAAUGCUGCUGCAGCUGGAGUAUCUAUCUACCUACUCUGUUUCUUCUUUUUCUCUUCAUGUUUUUUCCUUUUUGGUUCCAUGGAGCAUUGUAUAUUAUAUCAACAAAAGCCAUGAAUACUCGGAUUUUAUGUGGGUAUGAUGUUGUAACUCUCUCUCUCUCUCUGACUCUUGUUGCUUUUAUUUAUUAAAAGCUUUGGCAAUUUGUACAGAAACUUAAACAAAGUGUACUCGUUCUCAAGUCUUUUUGUAUUUGAGUUUUACAUUAUCUCGUCUCGUAAAGCUAUUAUUUCUGUUUGUUUCUUCUUAUUAAAAGAUGUCAUUUCUCAUGUAGAGUAGAUGUUAAAAAAAAAAAGAGAAGAUCUUAAUCUUAUCAACAUAACGUGGAAGCUUUGUCAUGUCCAAAAUCUCAUGUGGCGUGCGGUUCAUGCCGACAUGAAAUUCGUAUUUAAUGCUGACGUGGAAUCCUUCGUGGAUAGAUUGUAUAUUUCGAGUUGAUGCCAACGGUGGAGAUUCAAGAUUCCUUUGAUGAUUGAUUUGAUUGUGAACGGCUUUCGUUUUCCCCAAUCACGUGUGACUCGGGCCCCUCUUUUAUAUCACGUGCGAGAAAAGCUACACCGUCCACGUGGCAACCAAGUAUGUGUAAGCUCGGGUCCCACUUUUAAAGCAGUUGCGCGAAAACCUACACCGUCCACGUGGCGACUAUUGCAGCCCUCAGUGAUACGAUUUAACGGAAAGAUCACUCCGUCAUCUUUCUCCCACCACCACCGUCUCUAAACAAAUUACACAUGGCGAGUCUCUGCAUCUCAUCGUCCAGGAUCGUCUCCCUCCACCACCAGAAACCGUUUCUCUCUCUUAAA
rnacentral:lncRNA from 1 species